rnacentral:rRNA from 1 species
ACGAUGACGUGCCAGGAGGGGGCGUGAAACGGGGGGACGAGGCGGUGUCCGGAUGUAUUGGGCGUAAGGAGCUCGUAGGCGUUGCGGGAAGUCGGGGUUGAAAACGUUGUGCUCAACCCAAAGCGUGCACUCGAUACUGCCGUGACUAGAGUUCGGUAGGGGAGCGGGGAAUUCCUAGUGUAGCGGUGAAAUGCGCAGAUAUUAGGAGGAACACCGGUGGCGAAGGCGCCGCUCUGGGCCGAAACUGACGCUGAGGAGCGAAAGCGUGGGUAGCAAACAGGAUUAGAUACCCUAGUAGUC